rnacentral:piRNA from 1 species
AAGUUAGCUGAACUAGACAAACUCGGCA